GUGCCAGCCGCCGCGGUAAUACGGAGGAUCCAAGCGUUAUCCGGAAUCAUUGGGUUUAAAGGGUCCGUAGGCGGUUUAAUAAGUCAGUGGUUAAAGCCCAUCGCUCAACGGUGGAACGGCCAUUGAUACUGUUAAACUUGAAUUAUUAGGAAGUAACUAGAAUAUGUAGUGUAGCGGUGAAAUGCUUAGAGAUUACAUGGAAUACCAAUUGCGAAGGCAGGUUACUACUAAUGGAUUGACGCUGAUGGACGAAAGAGUGGGUAGCGAACAGGAUUAGAAACCCUAGUAGUCC
rnacentral:rRNA from 1 species